UGGGGAAUAUUGGACAAUGGGCGGAAGCCUGAUCCAGCCAUGCCGCGUGUGUGAAGAAGGCCUUUUGGUUGUAAAGCACUUUCAGCGAGGAGGAUGCUCAUCUAGUUAACACCUAGGAUGAGUGGUCGCUACUCGCAGAAUAAGCCGCGGCUAACUCUGUGCCAGCAGCCGCGGUAAUACAGAGGGCGCGAGCGUUAAUCGGAUUUACUGGGCGUAAAGCGUACGUAGGCGGCUGAUUAAGUCGGAUGUGAAAUCCCUGAGCUUAACUUAGGAAUUGCAUUCGAUACUGGUCGGCUAGAGGUCGGGAGAGGAUGGUAGAAUUCCAAGUGUAGCGGUGAAAUGCGUAGAGAUCUGGAGGAAUACCGGUGGCGAAGGCAGCCAUCUGGCCUAAUACUGACGCUGAGGUACGAAAGCAUGGGGAGCAAACAGG
rnacentral:rRNA from 1 species